AUGGCGGCGGGCGGCGCGGUGCUGGCGGCGCUGGGCGCGCUGGCGGCGGCGCUGCUGUGGCUGCGGUGGCGGCGGCGGGCGGCGGGCGGCGCGGGGCGGGUGUGCGUGGCCGUGCUGGGCGACCUGGGCCGCAGCCCGCGCAUGCAGUACCACGCGCUCUCGCUGGCCCGCCACGGGCGCGGCGUCACGCUGCUGGGCUACCUCGAGACGAAGCCGCACAGCGACGUUUUGGACAACGAAAACAUCCGGAUCGUGCCCAUCUCGGCUCUUAAAUCGUUGCAAGUUGGCCCUAAGAUUUUCCAGUAUGUUGUAAAAAUUAUUGCCCAAGCAACGCAGUUACUGUACACAAUGUUGAAGAUAGACCAGCCGUCCUAUGUUCUUCUUCAGAAUCCUCCAGGUCUACCUAGUAUAGCUGUUGCCUGGGUAGUGUGUCUUAUAUGGAGAAGCAAACUGAUAAUUGAUUGGCAUAACUAUGGAUAUACUGUGAUGAGUCUAAUUCAUGGAAGAAAUCACCUGCUAGUACAAAUUGCAAAAUGGUAUGAAAAGCUUUUUGGGCAUUUGUCAGACUACAACUUCUGUGUCACUAACGCAAUGAAAGAAGAUCUAUGGGAGAAGUGCAAUAUAAAGGCGAUAACUUUGUAUGACAAGCCAGCUUCUUAUUUUAAGGAAACACCUUUAGAACUUCAGCAUCAAUUAUAUAUGAAGCUUGCCAAAGUCUAUGAACCUUUUAAAGCACAGUAUGUUACAGAAUCUGUCAAAUCGAGUGCUGAGAGGUCUGCCUUCACAGAAAUGGAUCAUAAAAAUGGAGGCGUGAUAAAAACUAGAGGACGGCCAGCUCUUCUAAUCAGCAGUACGAGCUGGACAGAGGAUGAAGAUUUUUCUGUCCUUUUAAAAGCUUUAGAAGAUUAUGAAAGGUAUAUCAACGAGGGAAUCAAGCUUCCAUCUUUAGUAUGUGUGAUAACAGGCAAAGGACCCCUAAAAGAGUACUACAACCAACUGAUUGAUAAAUUACACUUCAAACAUAUCCAGAUCUGUACACCGUGGCUUGAAGCUGAGGACUACCCUCUUUUGCUUGGCUCUGCAGAUCUAGGUGUGUGUCUCCAUAAAUCAUCCAGUGGUUUGGAUUUACCUAUGAAAGUGGUAGAUAUGUUUGGCUGCUGUUUACCUGUAUGUGCAAUACACUUUGAAUGUUUACAUGAACUUGUGAAACACAAUGAAAAUGGUCUGAUAUUUAGAGAUUCAAAUGAGCUUGCUGAACAGCUGAAGUUUUUAAUCAUUUCAACUAGGGAUAAGCAUUUCAACAUACCUCAUUCUUCACAAUUUGAGUCUCUGUGCAAGUAAGAAUAGUACUGAAGUUGCAGUUGAGAUCAUCAUGUGCUGAAUAUGGAGGACCAUUUAGCUUCAAAGUUCUUCAGACAGCUCUUCCAAUGAGUGUUGUCCUUGUACACUGAAGUAAAUGUGCCCGUUUACCUCAAGAAAUACCAUAAAAUGUAUUCCUAUUUGAACAGAUGAAUACAAGAGGAAAAAAGAUUAAAGUAUGUAUUAUCUAAUAAAAAGGCACUUCACCUUCUGAAUGCUCACUCAGAUAAAAAAAAGCCACAGAAGAUGAAGAUUGGAAAAAAAAGCUUUACAAAACUUACGAGCAACAUGAAGAAUUUUGUGACAAGCAGGAUAAAGGAGCUCCUGUUUGAGCUGUGAGCAUGCAUGCAUUCCAUAAAUAAUACCUUUUGAAUUCUUCCCCUUCUUGGGGAGAGGUGGCUAAAACAAAAACAUGUAAUGGGUUUACUUCUGUAUAUCUGAUAUUGUUCAACUUGAAUAAGACAACUCUUCAAGUUUCAAGUUAUCUAUCAUCUACCUCUUUCCCUUCAUUGCUGUGGGAGGAGGAUACUAAGUAUUUGUUUUCUCUUAAGUAGCUUUUAAAACAAAGUACAGAUGUGGAAGUCAAAACAGGAGAAAGCAACACAUUUGGUUAUUUGCUUCAAGAUUAAUACUGUCAAGCAGGAAAAUGAUUAAUGGAUUAUCAGAAGUUUCAGAAAAGGUGAGAUAAACUUUUCCUUCUUGCAGUACACCUACACCUAGACAAAAAGGAAUGCUGGUGUGGAAUAUGGUGGUUCUUGUUUUCUGACCAGCCUGAGAGGAUGGCUUCCUGAUAGCUACUUGUGUCAGUUCUUACGUGAAAGAAGUGUAAAUCAAGUUCUGAUUUUUGUCAUUACUGCAGAGUAAAGAUGCAUCUAAUUUACAGCAGAAUCAAUUUCCUUCUUUUACAGCAUCAUAUAAAUUCGUGACACAGUCUACUGUGUUCACUGUAGGUAUUACUCAUUUUGUUCUAAGAUAACUCACAUUGCAAGUAUACAAGUAUACAUA